rnacentral:lncRNA from 1 species
GCUUUUUAGAAAACUUAAUUUAUAUAGUUUUUAUAUUUGUUACACAAAUAUUAUUUUAUUUAUUUUUCUUUUUUUUCUUUUUUAUGUUUUAAUGUUAAAUUAGGGUGUAGUGCCACUUAACCCAAAACCCUUUUUAAAUAAUUUAGCUGGAAACCGAGUUAUUAUAAAAUUAAAAUGGGGAAUAGAAUAUAAAGGAAAUUUGAAAUCAUUUGACGCUUAUAUGAAUAUACGGUUAGCAAAUGCUGAGGAAUGGAUUCAUGGUGAAUAUAAAGGAACAUUAGGAGAAAUAUUUUUAAGAUGUAACAACAUUUUAUAUAUAAGAGAAGACAAUGAAACAGAAAAAUCUUAAAAUUUAACAGUAAUUUUAUUUUUAACAAGUCCCAGUAAAUUUAUCGAAGUUUUUUUUACAUUUCUUUUUCUUUUAUUAUAUAUAUAAACAUUUUUUUUAAUUCAUUUUUAAUGCUGUACAUGAAUAUCAUAAGUUAUCCCUUAAAUUAAAACCCUUCUGUUUUUAAAUGACUUUCUAAAUUAUAUAGUAUAUUAUUAUUAUUUUUUCUUUUUUUAAAUAUAUAUAUGCAUAAAUCUAAUAUUUUAGUAAACUAAUUUUUUUCAUGUAUUUAUAAAUUUUAAUGUUACUUUUUUUUUUUUUAUAUUGUAUAUAGAUAUAUAUGUAUAAGUUAUCAUAAUUAUCUCCUGGAAAAACAAAUAAGUGUGUUAACACUUUUUUUAUACAUAUAUUUGUUUUAUUUUGCAUGAAAUAAUAUAUUCUGGCUUAACACAAUCACAUAUGUAUACAUAUAAAUAGAUGUAAAGUAAUAUUACAUGUAUGUGUUUACUGCAAUGAGGCAUUUUUUUUUUUUUUUUUUUUUUUUUUUUUUUUAAUUAAAGUUAAAUUCCUUUUUUUAAAAAAUUAAUUUUAUAAAAAAAAAAAAAAAAUGAUAUAUAAAAAUUAAAAUUAUCACUAAAAUAAAAUCAUAAAAAGAAAUGUAAAACA